rnacentral:rRNA from 1 species
ACUUUAAGCGAGGAGGAGGCUCUUGGUUAAUACCCAAGAUGCUUGGACGUUACUCGCAGAAUAAGCACCGGCUAACUCUGUGCCAGCAGCCGCGGUAAUACAGAGGGUGCGAGCGUUAAUCGGAUUUACUGGGCGUAAAGCGUGCGUAGGCGGCUUUUUAAGUCGGAUGUGAAAUCCCCGAGCUUAACUUGGGAAUUGCAUUCGAUACUGGGAAGCUAGAGUAUGGGAGAGGAUGGUAGAAUUCCAGGUGUAGCGGUGAAAUGCGUAGAGAUCUGGAGGAAUACCGAUGGCGAAGGCAGCCAUCUGGCCUAAUACUGACGCUGAGGUACGAAAGCAUGGGGAGCAAACAGGAUUAGAUACCCUGGUAGUCCAUGCCGUAAACGAUGUCUACUAGCCGUUGGGGCCUUUGAGGCUUUAGUGGCGC